ensembl:lncRNA
CUACGUCAUCAACACUCGCCCCUGGUGCUUCUCUCCGAAACAGAAACGGAAGAUAUCAAACCAUACGUGAACCGGGAAUAUAUUACAGCUAUGACUGGAGGGACUGGUUUCUAAAGCGUGUUUCAUGACACUCUGUGACACGGGCACUGUGACGUUAUUCUCGUGCACCAGCACGCUUCACAGCUGUUGACAACAACUUGGCGCUAGCUGAAACAAGAAGCUAACCAAUUGGCGCGAUUUUGAAGAAGGGCAAUAACCAACCAAUAUUUAACAAGAUGGCCUGCAGCGCAACUGACGCGGCCAGCGAUGUGGCACGCGACUCUCCAGGAAACAGUGGCUCUUGCUCUGAUGAUGACGUGCCGCUCGUGAAGAAGCCAGGCAGGAAGGGGAAACAGUCACGUGGAAACGGGCACAGAUCCAGCACUAAGUCAGCAAAGGACAAAAGUGCUUCGGAUGAUUCUUCAGAUGACGAGCCUUUGAUAAAAAAGAAAACAGUCUCUGCUGCACCAGCUAAGAAACCAGAGAAAAAAGGCACCAAGUCAAGCAGAUCUAAUGGCACAAAUGACAAGAAAGCAGAUAUCAACUCGGAUGAUAGCUCCGACAAUGAGCCGCUCCUAAAAAUCGCCAAAAAGUCCCCCAAAGCGUCAAAGAAGCCUCUCUCAAGGCCUCCGAAAAAAUCUGUUAAUUCGAAGAAGAAAGAAUCGCUGGAUGACGAUAAUAGCUCGGACGAUGAGCCUUUGAUUGAACUCCGCAAGAAAAUUUACCCGAAGCGUAAGGCCUCUGGUACUCCCUUUAGAAAAACAGCUGCAGUAAUAAAAUCUAAAAGGAAUGCAGGAAGGGGAAAAGUUAAAUACGUAGAGUCUUCCAGCGACAGCUCGGAUGAUGAACUGCUGUCUUCUACAAGGAAGACACAGGCUCCCAAACAGCAAACGACUUCAGUAAACAGCAAGAAAACAAAACCUAAAGGCAAAUCCCCAAAAGAAGACCCAUCAUACUCAGACAGCCGCUCAGAUGAUGAUGAUGAUGAUGAUGAUGACGACGACAAGCCCUUGGUGAAGCUCGUUGCCAAGAAGAAGAAACCAGGGAAGAAAAACACAAAGAAGGCAACUGCGUCGCCAGGCAGAGGGUCAAGAAAGAGACGAGGACUCUCCGAUGAAAGUUCAGAUUCUGAACCCUUGAUUAAUAUCGGGAAAAAGAAACGUACAGACAAACGAACUCCAAACAAACCGAAGGCUUCACCUCCGAAAAAGAAAAACACAACUCCCAAAAAGCCAAGAAAGAAGUCUGAGUCAGAGCCGUCAAGCAACAGUUCAGACGAUGAACCCUUAACCAAGGCAGCCAAACACCCCCAAGUGACCAAAAUUCUGGACAUUAUACUUGAGAGGUGUGAUGGUGAAGAAACUGGGGACGCAGAGAGCCUGAAAAAAACCAGGAAAGAAACACAGAUUGAUAGGAAGACGUCGAGGGAGGAGUCUGAGGAAUCACCAGAAGAAGAAUAGGCAGCAACCUUUCAGCUGGACAGGGAAGUUAAAAGCACCUAGUGGUUAAAUGUUUAAAGGACUUCCUGAAGAGGAACAUCCUUAAAAAAAACAAAAUCACACUUAGUGGUCAUGUUAAGUGUUUUUUAUAUACAAUGCAUAUGUGUUGAUUUUAGGUGUUGAUAUUUUUACUCUCAUUUUAAAGUUUGGGACCAGUUUUUGUAGUUUCCCAAAGGAUUUUAUGCACAGUCUUUGAUGUUAUUUUACAAUUUGUGCCUGUUGUUUGCAUUGUCCAUCUCCUCUUGCUUUAAUGUUUAAAAAAAAAGAAAACAAUGUAACGCUCACUGAUAUUAAGUUACAUCUCUGCUUUCUUAUGAACUGUACGCUCAGCAUGCCGCGGAGAAUCUGUUGUGUUGGAUUAAACUGCUUUCACUGUGACAUUCAUAACAGAUGAGUUGGUCUCCAUUUCAGCUGACGGCUACUUCAUUAUUGUCUUGUCAUUUUCAUUCUAGUGAGAUUGGAUCUCAAAUCAGUUUUUUUAUUAUUGAAAAAAAGACUAACAAGUGUUGAAACUUGCAGUUACUUUUAUA